rnacentral:tRNA from 2 species
CCCUGGUUAGCUCAGUUGGUAGAGCGCUCUACUGAAAAUGGGGAGGUCCCGGGUUCGAUACCCGAACCAGGCG